GCUGGGCAUGGUGGCGCAAGCCUAUAAUCCCAGCAUCUUGGGAGGCUGAGGAAGAAGGAUCACGAGUUCAAAGCCAGCCUCUGCAAAAGUGAGGCGAUAAGCAACUCAGUGAGACCCUGUCUCAA
rnacentral:sRNA from 1 species